CAGAAAAUGAAGACGUUCUACUAGAUUAUGGCAGUGAGCAGGUGGAUGUUCUUCUAAAUCAUUUUCAAGAAGUACUGCAAAGAGGUGGAUGCCAGACAGACAACGUUCAAGGUGAGUGGAGAAGUCUGAAGACACUUGUAAGACAAACAUUUCAAGACAAGUCCUACAGCAGCUUGUGGCAAACUUUGUCCACCAAAGAGCCAUACAAUGUUGACUACAAGAACAUACUGCACCUUGUCGAGAUGAUGCUGAUUCUACCUAUAUCAGCUGCACAGUGUGAGAGAGGAUUCUCAGCACAGCACCGCAUCAAAAACUCCACUCGAAGCAGUCUGCACGUAUCCACCACGGAGGAUCUUAUUCGAAUCAGCACUGAGGGACCUUCUCUGGAGAGAUUUGAUCCAAGCAAAUGCGCAGAGAAGUGGCUGUCUUCAAGUAAACGUUCAAGAAAACCACACUACAAAGCCUGGCCAGCUGAAAUAUGCAGCAUCUGAUUGCUGUUCACUGUGUGGCAGGAACAUUAAUUGUGUUCAGCAGUGCAGAUGUCAAUAAAGCUUUUAAAAGGACAGUU